rnacentral:rRNA from 1 species
UACGGAGGGGGCUAGCGUUGUUCGGAAUUACUGGGCGUAAAGCGCACGUAGGCGGCUUUGUAAGUCAGAGGUGAAAGCCCGGAGCUUACUACCGCGAAUUGCCUUUGAGACUGCAUCGCUAGAAUCAUGGAGAGGUUAGUGGAAUUCCGAGUGUAGAGGUGAAAUUUGUAGAUAUUCGGAGGAACACCAGUGGCGAAGGCGGCUCACUGGCUCGGUACUGACGCUGAGGUGCGAAAGCGUGGGGAGCAAACAGG